CCUUCUCUGUAACGUGAGGACCAUGAUACAGGUUUUUAACAGAGAAGUGCUAUGAGACUUAAAUGAGCGAAGUAAUAUAAAGCUGUUGGAACUGCUCCAGGCCCAUGGUGAAUACGCAGUAAGAGACAGAUGAGAAGGCAAGGGAAUUGAAUGAAGGAGUUGUUCAGCCAGGCUGUGCACCGUCUCUAGAUCCGGAUGGCACACAUAUCCUGCGUUCUUUGCAACCUGACUAAGCAUGGCUGAGAACCUCCUCACGCAGUCCGUGCAGCUCACAAAGCACUUCCCUAAGAGACGGAGUUCAAAAAAGACUCACCACCUUCCUCUUUUUGUAUGUGAGGGGAUCAUAAAACAAAAAACCUAAUUUUCAUGAAUCACAGAAUAAAGACGUCUUAUAGUCUG